CCGUCACCCCAACACCCCUCCCAGUCCUGGCGCCUGACCAGUCAUUGCAACCCCCCAGUCCCAUUCCUCCCCUUUCCCGUCCAAUGGCAGGGCCCAGGUGGAGCUGGAGGCGCUGGGAAGCUGUCCCUCGGGCCACCACAAGAAGAGUGUCUUCAGCGAGUUGGUUUGGGAAACUCGGCUCCUGGAGAGGCGGUUGUGGGGGCUGCGGGUGGGGCGCUGGGCCCAGCCCGGAGCAGGACCGGGCGCCGUGUUACCCCGUCGGCCACCUGAGGGUGAAGUCCCCAUCCAGGCUCCUCCGUCCGUCGCAGGAGGCCCCGAGCCGCUGUUCUCCGCCUUCACCGGGGAGAUGCCGGUGCCCCUCGGAACUGAACUGCGGGGUGAACUGAGGGGCGGAAUUCAAGACCUAGCGCUCCCUCCUUUAAAAGGAAGGCUGAUGCUGCUGUGCGUAGACGCGCCUCCUGCCCGUGCGGACCCUCCCCGACCUGAGGAAAAGCCCGGCCCGGGCGCACCGGAGGUCUCCUUGCUCAGAACUGCGGCAGGAGCUCGAGGAUGUUGAUGAAGGGACUUCGUAGGUCCUCUCGAUUGUUUUCUUUGCUGUGGCAAAUGCCCAGCUGUGUUGUUGUUUACAAAAGAAGGAAAGAAUAAUCGCGGUAGAAAUGAUAAGACUUUGGUCUAAAAUUCA